GGCAAAGAGACAUUGAACUGCAACCUUCGACCUCCACCAGAUUUAUCUGCACAUAUUGCAGGAUCUCUGCGGCGUCUACAAAAACACGCGUGCGCACGUGUGUGUGCCUUUUGUGUGUUUCCAGGAUGGAUUCAUUUUGAGCGUCCAUUCAAACAGGAGGUCAACUAUUUCAAGCCGACCUGAAGUGGGCGACCAACAUCAACUCCGUCCUCAAAAAGGCCCAGCAGAGGAUGUACUUCCUGCGGCUUCUGAGAAAGCUGUUGAGGCAGUUCUACACAGAAGUCAUCGAAUCGGUCCUGUGUUCUUCCAUCACAGUCCGGUUUGACGCUGCUACAAAAAAGGACAAACUCCGACUGCUGAAAGGAUUGUCGGUACCCCCCUACCCGCCCUUGAGGACUUGCACGCUGCCAGAACUAAGACAAGGGCGUGCCAAAUCCUCUGGGACCCUCCCCACCCCGGUCACCGGCUCUUCCGGCUCCUUCCCUCAGUCAACCUGACUGGAGAUGGCCACAAACGUGCAGAGUGCCAACAUCCGGCGUGCGUGUGUGGUAUACGCUCACACCAGCGACAAUCGACAACUCUUAUUUGAGUGAGGGAUUCAAACACAGCCACGCUCUCUACUUUGAUUGACAGCUCUUUUAGCACCCAAGCACGGCUAAUAAUAUCACAUUAAUGUG